rnacentral:rRNA from 1 species
AUUGAACGCUGGCGGCAGGCCUAACACAUGCAAGUCGAGCGGCAGCGGAAAGUAGCUUGCUACUUUGCCGGCGAGCGGCGGACGGGUGAGUAAUGUCUGGGAAACUGCCUGAUGGAGGGGGAUAACUACUGGAAACGGUAGCUAAUACCGCAUAACGUCGCAAGACCAAAGAGGGGGACCUUCAGGCCUCUUGCCAUCAGAUGUGCCCAGAUGGGAUUAGCUAGUAGGUGGGGUAACGGCUCACCUAGGCGACGAUCCCUAGCUGGUCUGAGAGGAUGACCAGCCACACUGGAACUGAGACACGGUCCAGACUCCUACGGGAGGCAGCAGUAGGGAAUUUUCGUCAAUGGGGGGAACCCUGAACGAGCAAUGCCGCGUGAGUGAGGAAGGUCUUCGGAUCGUAAAGCACUUUCAGCGGGGAGGAAGGCGGUGAGGUUAAUAACCUCACUGAUUGACGUUACCCGCAGAAGAAGCACCGGCUAACUCCGUGCCAGCAGCCGCCGUAA